CUGUCCUGAAACUGGCCCUGUAG
rnacentral:piRNA from 1 species